AGGUUGCCUUUCCAAGUUUGAAGACAUUAGAAAUCAAUUGCUUGGGCAAUCUCGGGUUUAUGUUUUCCCGUUCCAUGGUUAAAUCUCUUGCACAACCGAGAGAGCUAAGGGUUAGCCAUUGCGAGAAGAUGGAGGCGAUUAUUAUGGGGGAAGAAGGAUUGGGAGUGGAAAUAUCAGAAAUUUUGGCAUUCCCGAUGUUAAUUGAUUUACGCUUGGAAUGCCUGAAAAGUCUGACGUGCUUCUCUCGCAAAAAAUGUUCACAAGAAGGUCGGAGUCGGGACCGUGUCCAAUUAUGCUCCAGUGUCCUCUUCAAUCGAGAGGUUGCCUUUCCAAGUUUGGAGACAUUAGA